CGUGUUCUCUGCAACGGGCCUCCAGGGCACAGCCUCCGGGAACACCAGGAGCUUGACUUCACAUGCAGGAUGUUUGCGUGACCUGUAGGCAAACUAACAUUUGGAAAGCAUUGUCCAAGAACAUGAAUAACCACUCAGUCACCAAACACAACAGUAUUUUCUGAAGCCGUCUCCUCAAGUCAUUUGUUUUGUUUUGUUUUGUUUUCGAGAUGGAGUCUCGCCCUGUUGCCCAGGCUGAAUUGCAAUGGCAUGAUCUCGACUCACUGCAACCUCUGCCUCCCAGGUUCAAGCAAUUCUCCUGCCUCUGCCUCCCGAGUAGCUGAGAUUACAGGUGCCCGCCACCACGCCCGGCUAAUUUUUGUAUUUUUAGUAGAGACGGGGUUUCGCCAUGUUGGCCAGGCUGGUCUCGAACUCCUGACCUCAGGUGAUCCACCUGCCUCAGCCUCCCAAAGUGCUGGGAUUGCAGGUGUGAGCCACCACGCCCGGCCUCUCCUGGAGUCAUCUGUCGUUUGCAGGACUGGCCUGUGAGUGGCCGUCAUAUUUGUGAGUUGUCGCCUCCUGAAGCUCCCCGUCCUUUCUGGGCUACUUUUCUCAGUGUGCUGCUGCAUUGCACGCUCUGUUGCUAAACAUCUACUUAUUCCUCCUCUCCAAUUCUAUUUUUUUCUAUUUUCUAUUUUCUAUUUUUUUCAGUUAAUAAUAAAAUAAUAAAAUCAAAAGCUUCCACAAUUGUCCAAGGGCAUUUGACUUCUAAACCACUGCCUCUUACUCUGCCGCCUGUCCCAGCUGUCCACAAGAUGUCUCACCCGGAGGCGGUUGGCAGCGCAGGCUCAGCAUUUCCCACAUGGAAGGACCCCGUUCCUGUUCCAUCACCUGCGUGAAAAGUAAAGACCCCCAUUCCCGUUCCAUCGCCUACGUGAAACAGAAAGACCCUGUUCCCGUUCCAUCGCCUUCCUGCCUGAAGUCACCGAGCUUCCUAACCCCUGAUUCUGCUGAAGGGCUCCCGCAUUCUGGCCUGGAAACGCUGUCUCAUUCCCUGCGUUUGCUUGAGUCCUUGGCUUGGUCCCUCGUAGGGCAUUUUCUCCACGAGCCUGGGUAUAAACCUCUGCAGGAAGCCCCUUCCCAGCCCCCACCUGGAUCACAUCUCUGUAACUCUCUGUGUUUCCAUUCUGUCUGUAACAUGAGCACAGAAAUAGGUAUGGGACCCUCAUUUGAUGCUCAAAGAAGAACAUAUAACUGGAAACCUUGUCAAAUGCUAAGUAUUUUACACUUUCAUUCCUGGUGUACUGUGAGAUGUUUCUGUCUCUGCUGCUGCCACCGAGUUCACGUGUUUCUGGGUGGCUCCGUGCAUCCCGCAGGCUGCUCACUGGGGCCCACCAUGCAGGGGUUGAUUCUGUUGUACCAGAUCACAGAGGACAGGGAUCGAGCGCCCCUCAUCCUCAUGCAUCUUCAGUUCUCACCACGGAGUCGCACAUCGCAUUGACUGCUCUGGAAACUCAGCACCCAGCAGUGUCUGUAGAUAGAGACUUUCCCGAGCCGGGAUGUUUACAGCAGGGAGCAAAGCAGAGGGGUCUCUGUUCCCAUGUAGAUGAAAUCUAGUGAGGGGGUGCAGCAAACAUGCAUGUAAAGUUGAUAAAUCUCAAAAGUAAAAAACUCCAUGAAGAACGUAAAAUACAGUGAC
rnacentral:lncRNA from 1 species